GACGAACGCUGGCGGCGUGCUUAACACAUGCAAGUCGAACGGAAAGGCCCAAGUUUGGUUGGGUACUCGAGUGGCGAACGGGUGAGUAACACGUGGGUGACCUGCCCUGCACUUUGGGAUAACUCCGGGAAACUGGGUCUAAUACCGGAUAGGACCACGGUCUGCAUGGUGUUGUGGAGAGUUUUUCCGGUGUGGGAUGUGCUCGCGGGCUUUCUCCUUUUUGGGGGGGUGUUGGCCUACAAAGGCGUUGUCGGGUGGCCGCCCUGAGAGGGGGUGCGGCGACAUAUUGACAGUGAGACGGCGCAGACUCCUACGGGAGGGAGCAGUGGGGAGUAUAGCGCAAUGUGGGCAAGCCUGAUGCGGCGACGCGGCGUGGGGGAGGUCGGCCUUCUGGUUGUAAACUCCGUUCUCGAGUGACAAAGCGUGUUUGUGACGGUACCUGGUGAAGAAGCACCGGCUAACUACGUG
rnacentral:rRNA from 1 species